CCCUGCUCAUUUUCCUCCUCCAAAUUCCAUCCAAUUCUAAGGAAGCUAAGCAGGUCUGAACCCGGUUGGAACUUGGAUGAGAGACUACUGGGAAAUUCCAGGUGCUGUAGGCU
rnacentral:rRNA from 1 species